rnacentral:tRNA from 1 species
AUUUAUAUAGUUUAUCUAAAACAUUACAUUUUCAUUGUAAAAAUAAAAAAAUAUUUUUUAUAAAUA